UGGUUACUAAAAGAUCUGAUACUUGCAGGCAAGUGGUUAUCAUCUUUCACUCACAAAUUUCCGAAGCAUUCUCACGAUUGGAUUUUAGCAGUCAACAAGCUAGACAAAGAACGUAUCGUGAUGUUCAGCAUCUUCUUGGAUGUAUCAGAUCGUUGCCUUCUGAUAGUAAAUCCAAUCCCCCUAAUUGGGGGCAACUUGAUGAGUUUCUGGCACAAAAUUUCUGUGCAGAAGCUAGUCAAUAGAUUCCUUGUAAAGUAGUCUACAUCUCAAAAACAUUGGAUAGGCAUGAUUGGAGCAAUCAAGAGGACACGUGAAGACUAUGCAUCAAUAUUGUACAAUUAAUUUGAAGAUGCGCAGUCUUCUAACUGGAUGUCUUAUUACCAAAUGGAGUUUUGAGGGGAGAAAGAGUCCUUUAACAGCAAUUUUGGAGUUGUCAUACACAGUAAUGAUUUGUCAGAUGAAUGAUUUUUUUUUUAAUGAUUGUAUUCUUUUGGCCUGGACUGUAGAUUUUUUCUUCUCUUGAUUUUGGAGAAAAGAAAGAGACAUGAGCUGACAGUGGAAGCUGAAUAAUUUUCAUAGAGUGCAGUUGUAGUGUAUACUAGUGAAAAUAAUUGUAUGUAUCGGUUCCUUGCUUUAUUCAAGCAUGUUUUCUCCUGUAUCAAUAUCAAAGAUCCUCCUAAGAA